rnacentral:rRNA from 1 species
UACGAAGGGGGCGAGCGUUAUUCGGAAUCACUGGGCGUAAAGCGCGCGUAGGUGGUUUGUUAAGUUGGAUGUGAAAUCCCCGGGCUCAACCUGGGAACUGCAUUCAAAACUAGACAAGCUAGAGUAUGGUAGAGGGUGGUGGAAUUUCCUGUGUAGCGGUGAAAUGCGUAGAUAUAGGAAGGAACACCAGUGGCGAAGGCGACCACCUGGACUGAUACUGACACUGAGGUGCGAAAGCGUGGGGANCAAAC